rnacentral:rRNA from 1 species
AGAGUUUGAUCCUGGCUCAGAGUGAACGCUGGCGGUGUGGAUUAGGCAUGCAAGUCGAGCGAUGGUGUGUUUACACACCAUAGCGGCAAACGGGUGAGGAAUACGUGAAUAAUCUUCCCCGAAGUCGGACAUAGCAUUGUGAAAACGGUGGUAAUUUCCGAUAGUUCCUUGAUGACUCAUGUUGUCUUGGAUAAAAGUGGGGACCGUAAGGCCCACUGCUUUGGGAUGAAUUCGCGUCCUAUCAGCUUGUUGGUGAGGUAAUGGCUCACCAAGGCGUAUGACGGGUAGCCGGCCUGAGAGGGUGUUCGGCCACACUGGGACUGAGGCACUGCCCAGACUCCUACGGGAGGCUGCAGUCGAGAAUCUUUAGCAAUGGACGAAAGUCUGACUAUGCGACGCCGCGUGCAGGAUGAAGGUUUUCGGAUCGUAAACUGCUUUUGUUAGGAGAGAAACCUUAAUGGUUAAUACCCAUUAAGCUGACGGUACCUAACGAAUAAGCCACGGCCAACUCCGUGCCAGCAGCCGCGGUAAUACGGAGGUGGCAAGCGUUACUCGGAAUCAUUGGGUGUAAAGGGCAAGUAGGCGGCCUAUUAAGUGAGGGGUGAAAUCUUCCGACUCAAUCGGAAAACUGCCUUUCAAACUAAUAGGCUUGAGGCUGGAAGAGGGUAACGGAAUUAGCAGUGUAAGGGUGAAAUCUGUUGAUAUUGCUAAGAACGCCAACGGCGAAGGCAGUUACCUGGUCCAGUUCUGACGCUCAAUUGCGAAAGCUAGGGUAGCGAACAGAAUUAGAUACUCUGGUAGUCCUAGCCGUAAACGAUGAGCACUAGGUGUUGGGACUUCGGUCUCAGUGCCGCAGCUAACGCAUUAAGUGCUCCACCUGGGGACUACGGCCGCAAGGCUAAAACUCAAAGGAAUUGACGGGGACCCGCACAAGCGGUGGAACAUGUGGUUUAAUUCGAUGCUACGCGAAGAACCUCACCAGGGCUUGACAUGCUCGUCAUACCCUGCUGAAAGGCAGGGGUCAUUUAGUUGGACGAUGCACAGGUGCUGCAUGGCUGUCGUCAGCUCGUGUCGUGAGAUGUUGGGUUAAGUCCCGCAACGAGCGCAACCAUUGCCCCAUGUUGCCAUCUUCGAUGUUCUGCUUGCAGAACGCGGAGAGCACUCUUGGGGGACUGCCCGGAAUAACCGGGAGGAAGGUGGAGAUGACGUCAAGUCAGUACGGCCCUUAUGUCCUGGGCUACACACGUGUUACAAUGGAUGGUACAGAGGGUUGCCAACCCGCGAGGGGGAGCUAAUCUCAAAAAACCGUCCCCAGUUCGGGUAGAAGUCUGCAAUUCGACUUCUUGAAGCCGGAAUCGCUAGUAAUGGGAGAUCAGCUCGCUCCCGUGAAUACGUUCCCGGGUCUUGUACACACCGCCCGUCAAGCGAUGAAAGCCGGAAGUACCCGAAGUCCUAUGUAGAUAGGCCGAAGGUAAAGCUGGUGAUUGGCGCUAAGUCGUAACAAGGUA